rnacentral:rRNA from 1 species
AGGGUUUGAUCCUGGCUCAGAUUGAACGCUGGCGGCAUGCCUAACACAUGCAAGUCGAACGGCAGCGCGGGAGAGCUUGCUCUCCUGGCGGCGAGUGGCGGACGGGUGAGUAAUGCGUAGGAAUCUGCCCCAAAGCGGGGAAUAACUCGGGGAAACUCGAGCUAAUACCGCAUAAUCUCUAAGGAGCAAAGCUAGGGACCUUCGGGCCUGGCACUUUGGGAUGAGCCUACGUCGGAUUAGCUUGUUGGUGGGGUAAUGGCCUACCAAGGCAACGAUCCGUAGCUGGUUUGAGAGGAUGAUCAGCCACACUGGGACUGAGACACGGCCCAGACUCCUACGGGAGGCAGCAGUGGGGAAUAUUGGACAAUGGGCGAAAGCCUGAUCCAGCAAUGCCGCGUGUGUGAAGAAGGCCCUCGGGUUGUAAAGCACUUUCAGUAGGGAAGAAACAUCCUACGUUAAUAGCGUAGGAGAAUGACGUUACCUACAAAAGAAGCACCGGCUAACUCUGUGCCAGCAGCCGCGGUAAUACAGAGGGUGCAAGCGUUAAUCGGAAUUACUGGGCGUAAAGCGCUCGUAGGCGGAUUAUUAAGUCGAAUGUGAAAUCCCUGGGCUCAACCUAGGAACUGCAUUCGAAACUGGUAGUCUAGAGUAUGGUAGAGGAAAGUGGAAUUCCCGGUGUAGCGGUGAAAUGCGUAGAUAUCGGGAGGAACAUCAGUGGCGAAGGCGGCUUUCUGGACCAAUACUGACGCUGAGGGGCGAAAGCGUGGGUAGCAAACAGGAUUAGAUACCCUGGUAGUCCACGCCCUAAACGAUGAGAACUAGGCGUUGGGAGGCUUGACCUCUUAGUGCCGAAGCUAACGCGUUAAGUUCUCCGCCUGGGGAGUACGGUCGCAAGAUUAAAACUCAAAGAAAUUGACGGGGGCCCGCACAAGCGGUGGAGCAUGGUGGUUUAAUUCGAUGCAACGCGAAAAACCUUACCCACCUUGACAUCUCAGAAUCUCUGUAUGAGGAGAGGUGCUCGGGACUGAGUACAGUGCUGCAUGCCUGUCGUCAGCUCGGUGUCUUGAGAAUGUGUUAGUCCGGUUACGAGCGCCACCCCUAAUCCUAGGUUACAGCGAUCCGGUUCGCACUUAGGCAACUGCCGGUAAUAACCGGAGGAGUGGGGAUAUAUUUCCCG